UACAGAGGUCUCAAGCGUUGUUCGGAUUCAUUGGGCGUAAAGGGUGCGUAGGUGGCGCCGUAAGUCAGGUGUGAAAUUUCGGAGCUUAACUCCGAAACUGCAUUUGAUACUGCGGUGCUUUGAGGACUGGAGAGGAGACUGGAAUUUACGGUGUAGCAGUGAAAUGCGUAGAGAUCGUAAGGAAGACCAGUGGCGAAGGCGGGUCUCUGGACAGUUCCUGACACUGAGGCACGGAAGGCCAGGGGAGCAAACGGG
rnacentral:rRNA from 1 species